rnacentral:rRNA from 1 species
UACGAAGGGGGCUAGCGUUGUUCGGAAUUACUGGGCGUAAAGCGCGUGUAGGCGGCCCUGCAAGUCGGAUGUGAAAUCCCACGGCUCAACCGUGGAAGUGCAUUCGAAACUGCAGGGCUAGAGUCCUGGAGAGGAAGGUGGAAUGCUUGGUGUAGAGGUGAAAUUCGUAGAUAUCAGAAGGAACAUCAGUGGCGAAAGCGGCUUCCUGGUCCAGUACCGACGUUCAGGCACGAAAGCGUGGGGAGCAAACAGG